UAGGGAAUCUUCGGCAAUGGACGGAAGUCUGACCGAGCAACGCCGCGUGAGUGAAGAAGGUUUUCGGAUCGUAAAGCUCUGUUGUUAGAGAAGAACGUUGGUAGGAGUGGAAAAUCUACCAAGUGACGGUAACUAACCAGAAAGGGACGGCUAACUACGUGCCAGCAGCCGCGGUAAUACGUAGGUCCCGAGCGUUGUCCGGAUUUAUUGGGCGUAAAGCGAGCGCAGGCGGUUCUUUAAGUCUGAAGUUAAAGGCAGUGGCUUAACCAUUGUACGCUUUGGAAACUGGAGGACUUGAGUGCAGAAGGGGGGAGUGGAAUUCCAUGUGUAGCGGUGAAAUGCGUAGUUAUAUGGAGGAACACCGGUGGCGAAAGCGGCUCUCUGGUCUGUAACUGACGCUGAGGCUCGAAAGCGUGGGGAGCAAACAGG
rnacentral:rRNA from 1 species